AGCUAAUAAGGAGGAGGAAACUGUGUACAGUGAUGUGAAGGUGCGAAGCAAAACAACCGAAAAGACUGCUGACACAAACACAGGACUCUUGCCAGACAAGAAAACAAACAGCAGAGGUCGCUGCUAUCAGCAGGUGGCUUGUUGUUUGGGGAUUCUUUGUGUCAUUUUGCUGUUGGGCAUCAUAGCAGUCUGUGUCUACGCAAGAUCACAAACCUGUCUGCAGAAAACCAGAACCUGACAACACGAAACCAGGAGCUGAAGACACAGAACCAGGAUCUGGAGUCACAGAGGAACAACUUAACAGAACAAAUACAAAACAAGUGGAAUGAGCUCAACGUCAGUCGAGCUCAGUGGAGCAUUGAUGCCUACUGC